GCGAAUCGGUAAAAAGCCACGCAGCGCGGCAUGCGCGUGGAAAAAGUCAUGAAAACGAAUUGAAUUUAAUGCGAAUUUAAAGACGCGGAAGCACCUACCUAUCAUUGAGUUUCGAGCGCAGAAAACAACCUACGUCGUCGGCCAUCAGGUGCGGCGGCAGGAUGACAAAAAUAUUUUUUAUCGCUUUCAUUACGAACGCGACCACGCCGGCGGAGCAUUGAAUUUUUUGUUUAAUAAUCGAGUGUGUAAUGGUACUUAACGCAAUGCAACGUGUGCAGUCGUGCCGCGUGAGUGUGAAUAUCCUUUUACUGCUUUAAAAACAUCUGCGCCGGAAAAGCGCAUGCAGCAAGUGCACAUUACUAGCGGGAUUUAUAAGGAGUGAAGAACUAUGGUCCAUGGGCGAGCCAAGCGAGCAAUAAAUGAGUGAAUUAGCGCAAAAAGUGCACCGGAUGCGAGCUUUCCAGUUUGCUUCCAGACUUUACUGAACAAGUGCGCCAAUGAGUGGACUAAUUUGAGAGCAUUAAUUAAAAGUUUCGCAUUCUCUUCGCGAGCACUAGUAAUUAAUCUAUUGCGCCGCCAUCGCUGGUUGCUAUAUUGCGUCGAUUGUGUAAUAAAUAUGGGAAUGCAAAAAUAGUGAAACUGUAAA